UCUUAUGGAUGAGCAAAAAAGGUGGUUUCUUGAGAUGGAACCUUCUCCUGGUGAAGAUUCUGUGAA
rnacentral:pre_miRNA from 1 species